rnacentral:rRNA from 1 species
UUACUUUGAUUCUUUCGGGAUGAAAAGUUUUGUGACUGAGCGGCGGACGGGUGAGUAACGCGUGGGUAACCUGCCUCAUACAGGGGGAUAACAGUUAGAAAUGACUGCUAAUACCGCAUAAGACCACAGCACCGCAUGGUGCAGGGGUAAAAACUGAGGUGGUAUGAGAUGGACCCGCGUCUGAUUAGGUAGUUGGUGAGGUAACGGCUCACCAAGCCGACGAUCAGUAGCCGACCUGAGAGGGUGACCGGCCACAUUGGGACUGAGACACGGCCCAAACUCCUACGGGAGGCAGCAGUGGGGAAUAUUGCACAAUGGGGGAAACCCUGAUGCAGCGACGCCGCGUGAGCGAAGAAGUAUUUCGGUAUGUAAAGCUCUAUCAGCAGGGAAGAAACUGACGGUACCUGACUAAGAAGCACCGGCUAAAUACGUGCCAGCAGCCGCGGUAAUACGUAUGGUGCAAGCGUUAUCCGGAUUUACUGGGUGUAAAGGGAGCGUAGACGGAGUGGCAAGUCUGGAGUGAAAACCCAGGGCUCAACCCUGGGACUGCUUUGGAAACUGUCAAUCUAGAGUGCUGGAGAGGUAAGUGGAAUUCCUAGUGUAGCGGUGAAAUGCGUAGAUAUUAGGAGGAACACCAGUGGCGAAGGCGGCUUACUGGACAGUGACUGACGUUGAGGCUCGAAAGCGUGGGGAGCAAACAGG